rnacentral:misc_RNA from 2 species
CGACCAUCGAGCCCCCGGGCUUGUGUUGGGGACCUGCGGCUGCCCGCAGGCCCUGAAAACCAGUGGCGGGCCCGCCGGCACACCGAGCGCAGUAGCACCUAUCUCGCUCGGGGCGUGCCGCGGGUUUGUUCCCGGCCGUUAAAAAGCGCCUUUCUCGCAA